AGCCCAAGGGGACAUCUUCUCUAUUGGAUUGAUGUGGAAGAUACCUCAGAGCAGAUACAACAAAUGGCCUCAUUGCCUGUGAUGUGAAGGGUUAUUUUCCCCCUCUGCUUAUGUGAAAGCAAAACUACCAUGGGAGAGACAAGCCUGGACACAUGGGAAAUUUCUAAAGACUUAUUCAAGGUAUGAUCUUAAAUAGUUUAGUCAAAGAUAUGUACACCCACUCAGGGCCUAAUCUAUUGUUUUUCUUGGCUUACCCAUCCUGGCAUGGCACAGGGAUCUGGAGAGAAUUGGGUCAGGAAGAAAGGAAAAUAAAAAUGGCUAGAUUUCUUGACAGUUUGAUGUAUGAUCCUUAAUAAAUGACAUAUAGCAUCCCACAUAAGCAUCUGUGUGUUUUAAGAUGAAAAUUACACUGUAUUUCUCACCUUAGCUGGGCAUAUUUUGAAGUCAUUAAAGUAAAUUGUACUUAAUUUUACUUCCAAUAUCAUUAACCUCAUAUCUACAGUUUAUUAAAAAUGGAAGUUUUCUAUUAGUGUUAUUUAAUUAAGUUCAAUAAAAGUAUGAUAAACAUUUACUAGGCAAGGACAUUACUCCAGAUGUUCAGAAUACAGAAGAGAAAAAUGAGAGCAUUCUACUCAUUAAGCUUACAAUUUAAUGAUAAGGAUGGGUCUUUACACAGAUAAGGAAGACAUAAUGAUCAUUGGAUCUUAGAUCUAGUGCUGGAAGGGACUCCAGAGUCCAACCUCCUCAUUUUACAGGUGAGGAAGCUGAGUACUAUGUAAGUGAAGUGACUUGCCCAAGAUCAGAUCAUAAAUCUGGGGAGCAUCAGCAGUGGGAUGUGAACCCAAGUAUUCUGACCCCAGAACUGGCACUUCUUCCUCUCUACCAAAUUGCAGCAGAUGAAGAGAGAUUCAGACAAUAUGAUAUGAAAAACUUUAGGAGGCAUGGACUCAUUUUAGCUGGAGGUGUUUAGGAAGGCUUCAUGGAGUAGCUGAAUCCUAAAGUGGACCUUGAAGGAGACAAAGGAUCUAAAGAGGAAGAAAUUGAAAUGUGUUAGAUAUUUACUCUAGGCAGCACAGCCUUCUUGGAUGUUGGAGAGAGUAGGAUAGCAUCAAGGAAUGGCUAGAAGUUCAAUCAGUACAGAAAAAUGAAAACAACAUUGAAAAAAGUCUGAAAAGGUAGAUUGGAGCCAAGGUAUGGAAGGUCUUGAAUGUCAAGCCAAUAAGCCUGCAUUUUUAUCCCACAAUGCUCAGUUCUUUUCUUUUUCUUUUUCAAUUUUCAUUAAAUUUUUCUCAAUUACAUGUAAGUAAGCAUUUCUAACAACCAUUAAAUUUUUUUUAAGUUUAUGUUGUCUUUCUCCUUCUCCCCUUACCCUUCAUUGAGAAGGCAAGCAGUUUUAUAAAAUUAUUCAAAUACAGUCAUGCAUAACAUUUCCAUAUUAGCUGUGUUGCAAAACAAAAUGUAGGCAAAACAAACAAACCAAGAAUAAAAAAGUGAAAAAAAUUCAUUUCAGUCUUCAUUCAGACUUCAUCAGGUCUUUCUCUGGACAUAGAUAGCAUUUUUCAUUGUAAGUCCUAUGGAAUUAUUGGGAUCACUGUGUUGCUCAGAAUAGCUAAGUAAUUCACAAAUGAUCAUUGUCAAUAUUUUUAUUACUGAGUAUAAUGUUCUACUGGUUCUGCCCAUUUCACCUUGCUUAAGUUCAUGUAGAUUCUCCCAGGUUUUUCUGAAAUCAUCCUGCUUGUCAUGCCUUAAUAAUAUUCCAUAAAUCUUCAUGUACCACAACUUGUUCAGCCAUUCCCCACUGAUGAGCAUACCUUCAGUUUCCAAUUCUUUGUCACCACAAAAAGAACUGCUAUAAAUAUUUUUGUAGGUGUAGGUCCUUUUCCUUUCCUGUUUUUUUUUAAUCUCUUUGGAACACAGAUCUACUAGUAUUGCUGGGUCAAAGGGUAUGUAGUUUUAUAUCCUUUUGGGCAUAGUUCUAAACUGCUCUCCAAAAUGACUCGAUCAGUUCACUAAUGAUGCAUUAGUGUCCCUAUUUUUCCACAUCACCCCCAUUGUUUGUCAUUUUCUUUUUCUACCACACUAGCCAGGCUGAUAGGUCAGUACCUCUGAGGUGUUUUAAUUUACAUUUCUUUAAUUAAUUUACUAGCCAAUUAUUUGCAGUGCUAGAUCAGCUUGUGGAGAUAUAUAACUUCUAAGAUCCUCUUCCUUUUCCCCUUUCAUAUUCUCCAUCUCUCACAUGUCUCAGUGACAUUUCACUAGUUCUCCUUACUUUAUUGAGUGAAGAAAGGCCUCCAUUGAUGGAGAAGCAAAGUGUUAUCUGUUAUCUCUACUCCCAGAUCUAUGUGUUGGAAGCUUUGAGCUUUAUUUUUGGUUGAGAGGAUGAAGGAUAAAAGAAAAGAAGCAAGGAGAGUCUUUUCUCAUGGCUGACUUUAACAAUUUGUUGGUUUGGGAGUAGCUAGGGGGUUCAGUGGAUUGAGUCCCUACAGAUGGGAGAUUCUGGGUUCAAAUCAGACCUCAGAUAUGUCAUAUCUGUACAAUCCUGGGCAAUUCACUUUAAUCCCCACUGCCUAACCUUUAUCAUUCUUCUGCCUUGGAACCAAUACACAGUAUAGAUUCUGAGACAGAAUGUAGGGGUAUUUUUUUUUGUUUUGUUUUGUUUUGUUUUAGUUGUUGUUUCUGUUCUCAUGGAAAUUGAGAUUUUAUCUGUCCUCUGAGAAACUUCCCAGGGGUUGGUUGGCUCACUUCUCCACAUGGGGAGCCAUUAGCUCAAAAGGGACUAACAAGGAAGAAAGACACCAUGAGUUGUCCCUGGCCUAAAUACCAGACAGCUUUCUAACUUUCAUGAGCCAGUCUCUACUCCAGCCUCUUAAGCCUUCUGAUUGUGUGUAUGCUGAGGGGGGAGAUGAAUAUGGUACAGAGGAUCGGCUGCAUAUGAACCCAGAAACCGCAACUAUACUUAAAAUUUCUAAAAGGUGAAGGAAUAUUCUGAAAAUUCAGGUAUCUAGGAGACUUACCAGUCAUCAGAGGUGCCAGUGAGUGGCAGCCAGAAUCAGUAACAGAGUCCACCAAAGAAGUAGUGGCUGAUGACGGAGGAAGUACUGGAGAAAAGUGAUGAAAAGAUAGUCACCAGAGGAUGAUGGCAGCUUUGGGGAUCAAGACCCUUUGCGAGAGAAAGUUCUGCUUAUCGCCUCCAGAAAAGGCAUUCCAUAAAAGAGCUUACACCUAAGAGGAACCUCAUGAAUACCACAGGAAGGCAGAAAACUACUUUUGGGGCCCAGAAUCAGGAAGUACCCCCUGGACCCCUGUGCUCUAUAUACAUUCUGAAGUCCUAAGAUGCCAAGAAGUAUGAAGAACAAAGCAUUCUCCUUUUUUUCAAAGCUUAAUUCUCUUAUAACAAUGAUGGAAGCUAAAAUGUAUAAGCUUCAUCUUUGGUAACAGUUUUUCUGCACAUGAAGAAAUAAGAAUGCUCAUAAAAACCUGUAAGGAAAAUACAAUGCAUUAUGAUAAUGUGCCUUGGUCUAAGUAGCUAAUCACUUUUUAUUAACACUUUUAGGUCCAGGGAGUUGGGAUUUCUCCAAGCUGACUGUCAGGGCAGGGAUUCUGGGACUCUGUAUUAGUAAUUAGCUUUAUAAGAUCUUGGCUCCUGGGGUGAUUCGAAUUAAAACAAAAUAAAAGCACAAAUUUCCAAAAA